rnacentral:rRNA from 1 species
GGGUUGUGAGGUUAAGCGACUAAGCGUACACGGUGGAUGCCCUGGCAGUCAGAGGCGAUGAAGGACGUGCUAAUCUGCGAAAAGCGUCGGUAAGGUGAUAUGAACCGUUAUAACCGGCGAUGUCCGAAUGGGGAAACCCAGUGUGAUUCGUCACACUAUCGUUAACUGAAUACAUAGGUUAACGAGGCGAACCGGGGGAACUGAAACAUCUAAGUACCCCGAGGAAAAGAAAUCAACCGAGAUUCCCCCAGUAGCGGCGAGCGAACGGGGAGCAGCCCAGAGUCUGAAUCAGCUUGUGUGUUAGUGGAACGGUCUGGAAAGUCCGACGGUACAGGGUGAUAGUCCCGUACACCAAAAUGCACAGGUUGUGAACUCGAAGAGUAGGGCGGGACACGUGGUAUCCUGUCUGAAUAUGGGGGGACCAUCCUCCAAGGCUAAAUACUCCUGACUGACCGAUAGUGAACCAGUACCGUGAGGGAAAGGCGAAAAGAACCCCGGCGAGGGGAGUGAAAAAGAACCUGAAACCGUGUACGUACAAGCAGUGGGAGCACCUUCGGGUGUGACUGCGUACCUUUUGUAUAAUGGGUCAGCGACUUAUAUUCUGUAGCAAGGUUAACCGUAUAGGGGAGCCGCAGGGAAACCGAGUCUUAACUGGGCGUUAAGUUGCAGGGUAUAGACCCGAAACCCGGUGAUCUAGCCAUGGGCAGGUUGAAGGUUGGGUAACACUAACUGGAGGACCGAACCGACUAAUGUUGAAAAAUUAGCGGAUGACUUGUGGCUGGGGGUGAAAGGCCAAUCAAACCGGGAGAUAGCUGGUUCUCCCCGAAAGCUAUUUAGGUAGCGCCUCGUGAAUUCAUCUUCGGGGGUAGAGCACUGUUUCGGCUAGGGGGUCAUCCCGACUUACCAACCCGAUGCAAACUACGAAUACCGAAGAAUGUUAUCACGGGAGACACACGGCGGGUGCUAACGUCCGUCGUGAAGAGGGAAACAACCCAGACCGCCAGCUAAGGUCCCAAAGUCAUGGUUAAGUGGGAAACGAUGUGGGAAGGCACAGACAGCCAGGAUGUUGGCUUAGAAGCAGCCAUCAUUUAAAGAAAGCGUAAUAGCUCACUGGUCGAGUCGGCCUGCGCGGAAGAUGUAACGGGGCUAAACCAUGCACCGAAGCUGCGGCAGCGACACUAUGUGUUGUUGGGUAGGGGAGCGUUCUGUAAGCCUGCGAAGGUGUGCUGUGAGGCAUGCUGGAGGUAUCAGAAGUGCGAAUGCUGACAUAAGUAACGAUAAAGCGGGUGAAAAGCCCGCUCGCCGGAAGACCAAGGGUUCCUGUCCAACGUUAAUCGGGGCAGGGUGAGUCGACCCCUAAGGCGAGGCCGAAAGGCGUAGUCGAUGGGAAACAGGUUAAUAUUCCUGUACUUGGUGUUACUGCGAAGGGGGGACGGAGAAGGCUAUGUUAGCCGGGCGACGGUUGUCCCGGUUUAAGCAUGUAGGCUGGUUGUCCAGGCAAAUCCGGAUAAUCAAGGCUGAGGUGUGAUGACGAGGCACUACGGUGCUGAAGUAACAAAUGCCCUGCUUCCAGGAAAAGCCUCUAAGCAUCAGGUAACAUUAAAUCGUACCCCAAACCGACACAGGUGGUCAGGUAGAGAAUACCAAGGCGCUUGAGAGAACUCGGGUGAAGGAACUAGGCAAAAUGGUGCCGUAACUUCGGGAGAAGGCACGCUGGUGUGUAGGUGAAGCCCCUGCGGGUGGAGCUGAGACCAGUCGAAGAUACCAGCUGGCUGCAACUGUUUAUUAAAAACACAGCACUGUGCAAACACGAAAGUGGACGUAUACGGUGUGACGCCUGCCCGGUGCCGGAAGGUUAAUUGAUGGGGUUAUCCGUAAGGAGAAGCUCUUGAUCGAAGCCCCGGUAAACGGCGGCCGUAACUAUAACGGUCCUAAGGUAGCGAAAUUCCUUGUCGGGUAAGUUCCGACCUGCACGAAUGGCGUAAUGAUGGCCAGGCUGUCUCCACCCGAGACUCAGUGAAAUUGAACUCGCUGUGAAGAUGCAGUGUACCCGCGGCAAGACGGAAAGACCCCGUGAACCUUUACUAUAGCUUGACACUGAACAUUGAGCCUUGAUGUGUAGGAUAGGUGGGAGGCUUUGAAGCGUGGACGCCAGUCUGCGUGGAGCCAACCUUGAAAUACCACCCUUUAAUGUUUGAUGUUCUAACGUUGGCCCCUUACCGGGGUUGCGGACAGUGUCUGGUGGGUAGUUUGACUGGGGCGGUCUCCUCCCAAAGCGUAACGGAGGAGCACGAAGGUUAGCUAAUCCUGGUCGGACAUCAGGAGGUUAGUGCAAUGGCAUAAGCUAGCUUGACUGCGAGCGUGACGGCGCGAGCAGGUGCGAAAGCAGGUCAUAGUGAUCCGGUGGUUCUGAAUGGAAGGGCCAUCGCUCAACGGAUAAAAGGUACUCCGGGGAUAACAGGCUGAUACCGCCCAAGAGUUCAUAUCGACGGCGGUGUUUGGCACCUCGAUGUCGGCUCAUCACAUCCUGGGGCUGAAGUAGGUCCCAAGGGUAUGGCUGUUCGCCAUUUAAAGUGGUACGCGAGCUGGGUUUAGAACGUCGUGAGACAGUUCGGUCCCUAUCUGCCGUGGGCGCUGGAGAAUUGAGGGGGGCUGCUCCUAGUACGAGAGGACCGGAGUGGACGCAUCACUGGUGUUCGGGUUGUCAUGCCAAUGGCACUGCCCGGUAGCUAAAUGCGGAAGAGAUAAGUGCUGAAAGCAUCUAAGCACGAAACUUGCCCCGAGAUGAGUUCUCCCUGAGACUUUAAGUCUCCUGAAGGAACGUUGAAGACGACGACGUUGAUAGGCCGGGUGUGUAAGCGCAGCGAUGCGUUGAGCUAACCGGUACUAAUGAACCGUGAGGCUUAACCUUACAACGCCGAAG